CCUACGGGCGGCAGCAGUGAGGAAUAUUGGUCAAUGGACGAGCGUCUGAACCAGCCAAGUCGCGUGAAGGAUGACUGCCCUAUGGGUUGUAAACUUCUUUUAUAUGGGAAUAAAAUGUUCCACGUGUAGGAUUUUGUAUGUACCAUAUGAAUAAGGAACGGCUAACUCCGUGCCAGCCGCCGCGGUAAUACGGAGGAUCCGAGCGUUAUCCGGAUUUAUUGGGUUUAAAGGGAGCGUAGGGGGGUUGUUAAGUCAGUUGUGAAAGUUUGCGGCUCAACCGUAAAAUUGCAGUUGAAACUGGCAGUCUUGAGUACAGUAGAGGUGGGCGGAAUGCGUGGUGUAGCGGUGAAAUGCUUAGAUAUCACGAAGAACUCCGAUUGCGAAGGCAGCUCACUGGACUGCAACUGACACUGAGGCUCGAAAGUGUGGGUAUCAAACAGGAUUAGAUACCCUUGUAGUC
rnacentral:rRNA from 1 species